rfam:Schistosoma mansoni, Puerto Rico, WGS project CABG01000000 data, contig: 0034
AUCCCGCUGACGAGUUUCAAACAAGAGGAAACGCGCGUUCUGGAU